ACAGUGCUUGUGCUGUUUGAUGCGGGUGACACGGCGUGAAUGUUGUUUCUCUUCGCAUUACUCUACGGUAUGAGUAACACUGAGCCUUAUUUUCAAGAAUUUGCGGAUGUUGACAGAAGUGAAGAAUUUUGACCGAUUUCAAGUCUUCACCUCAAGCACAGGAGCCCUACACCAAACGAAUGCUGGAGAGGUAAUCCAGCAUGUUCCAGUGCCAAAUGAACAGGGAGGCCUGCACUCUCUACUUCAAAGCAAAGCAGCAGUGUUACCUGAGGAACACAGGAAAACAGGAUCAUUUAAAGUCCAGGAGACUGCUUGUCAAAGUUUGUGUCAGUCACUUGGUGGAGAAGGGUGAAUUUUACCCAUCAAGUGCUGAAAAGCUUGUUUUUGUCACUACUUUCACAUCUUUGCAGGGUCGGAUUAAAGGAAAAGGAGAUGGAUUUGUAAGUAAUAUGUAAUUAAUGUCAAAAACAGCCAAAUGUGUUUUUUUACUCUGAAAGAACAUUUUGGUUGUUGCAUUCCUUGACUGUUGUCAGUUGGCCUUUACAUUUCUCAUGAUAAACUAACUUACAGUUUACUACAUCAUCUGAC